GCCCUGAUAGCUCAGUCGGUUAGAGCAGCGGACUCAUAAUCCGUUUGUCCCGGGUUCGAGCCCCGGUCGGGGCACCG
rnacentral:tRNA from 1 species